CGAUGCGGAGCAAAUCCCUAAAAGCGGUCUCAGUUCGGAUCGCAGGCUGCAACUCGCCUGCGUGAAGUCGGAAUUGCUAGUAAUCGCGGAUCAGCAUGCCGCGGUGAAUACCGUUCCCGGGCCUUGUACACACCGCCCGUCACACCAUGAGAGCUGGGAACACCCGAAGUCCGUAGUCUAACCGCAAGGAGGACGCAGCCGAAGGUGGGCUUGGUAAUUGGGGUGAAGUCGUAACAAGGUAUC
rnacentral:rRNA from 1 species